rnacentral:rRNA from 1 species
AUUGAACGCUGGCGGCAGGCUUAACACAUGCAAGUCGAGCGGAGAUGAGGUGCUUGCACCUUAUCUUAGCGGCGGACGGGUGAGUAAUGCUUAGGAAUCUGCCUAUUAGUGGGGGACAACAUUCCGAAAGGAAUGCUAAUACCGCAUACGUCCUACGGGAGAAAGCAGGGGAUCUUCGGACCUUGCGCUAAUAGAUGAGCCUAAGUCGGAUUAGCUAGUUGGUGGGGUAAAGGCCUACCAAGGCGACGAUCUGUAGCGGGGCUGAGCGGAUGCUCCCCCACGCUGGGACUGCGACACGGCCCAGAAUCCUACGAGAGGCAGCAGUGGGGAAUAUUGGACAAUGGGGGGAACCCUGAUCCAGCCAUGCCGCGUGUGUGAAGAAGGCCUUAUGGUUGUAAAGCACUUUAAGCGAGGAGGAGGCUACUGAGACUAAUACUCUUGGAUAGUGGACGUUACUCGCAGAAUAAGCACCGGCUAACUCUGUGCCAGCCGCCGCGGUAAAAC